rnacentral:rRNA from 1 species
UCGGANGGGGUGAGUAACGCGUAGAAUCUGCCUUCAGGUUCGGGACAACCACUGGAAACGGUGGCUAAUACCGAAUGUGCAGCAAUGUGAAAAAUUUAUUGCCUGAAGAUGAGCUCGCGUCUGAUUAGCUAGUAGGUGUGGUAAGAGCGCACCUAGGCGACGAUCAGUAGCUGGUCUGAGAGGAUGAUCAGCCACACUGGGACUGAGACACGGCCCAGACUCCUACGGGAGGCAGCAGUGGGGAAUUUUCCGCAAUGGGCGAAAGCCUGACGGAGCAAUACCGCGUGAGGGAGGAAGGCUCUUGGGUUGUAAACCUCUUUUCUCAAGGAAGAAAAAAAUGACGGUACUUGAGGAAUAAGCAUCGGCUAACUCCGUGCCAGCAGCCGCGGUAAUACGGAGGAUGCAAGCGUUAUCCGGAAUGAUUGGGCGUAAAGCGUCCGCAGGUGGCUAUGUAAGUCUGCUGUUAAAGAGUCUGGCUCAACCAGAUAAAGGCAGUGGAAACUACAUGGCUAGAGUGCGUUCGGGGCAGAGGGAAUUCCUGGUGUAGCGGUGAAAUGCGUAGAGAUCAGGAAGAACACCGGUGGCGAAAGCGCUCUGCUAGGCCGCAACUGACACUGAGGGACGAAAGCUAGGGGAGCGAAAGGGAUUANAUACCCCUGUAGUC